rnacentral:lncRNA from 1 species
GUUUUAUUGCUAGAUUAACCUUUAACUUAUAUGACAGUUGCAUCAAAUUCCAUUAUAUUGACAACGAUGUGUGAACAAAACAGACAUUAUCGGUAAAAAUGUCAAUAAUGAGGAUUCAGCAGUCAUUAUCUUAUAAUCUUUAUCACUAUAAAAACAAACAAAUAUGUAUCAAAGAAGCACAAAAAGGCAUAUAAACAAAGGACAUUAGCAAGAAUGAAAGACAAAAAUACAAAAAUUUACGUUAGCGCAAUAACAUAAUGACGAGAUGUAUAAGUACAGAGCAACGUCAUAUAUUUUAAAGAAACGUAAAAAAAACAUAUAAACAAAGCACAUUAGCAAACCUAAAACACAAUAAUACACAAAGUCACGCCAAAUGCAUAUCAUCAAAAUAGACUAAGCAAUAAAAGUAAUAUCCAUAAUAUAAAUAAAAGAAUACUAUAACGCGUUAUUAAUAGCAAAAACAAGUCGAUACCCAGAUUCUAUACUUCAAGACCAUUCGUGUAUCAUUUGUGAAGUUGAUACGGAAUAUUUACCAACAAGGUCUUUCGAUUAACUUUUUUUGAAAAAAGAACGAGACGUUUUUUGACUUACCCCUGGUUCAUCAUUUUUCUGCGCAGAUACUGGUGACUGUUAACAAAG